rnacentral:rRNA from 1 species
GGAAUAUUGGGCAAUGGAGGAAACUCUGACCCAGCGACGCCGCGUGCGGGAUGAAGGCCUUCGGGUUGUAAACCGCUUUCAGCAGGGAAGAAGCGAAAGUGACGGUACCUGCAGAAGAAGCACCGGCUAACUAUGUGCCAGCAGCCGCGGUAAUACAUAGGGUGCAAGCGUUGUCCGGAAUUAUUGGGCGUAAAGAGCUCGUAGGUGGUUCGUCACGUCGGAUGUGAAAAUCUGGGGCUUAACCCCAGACCUGCAUUCGAUACGGGCGGACUGGAGUGUGGUAGGGGAGACUGGAAUUCCUGGUGUAGCGGUGGAAUGCGCAGAUAUCAGGAGGAACACCAAUGGCGAAGGCAGGUCUCUGGGCCAUUACUGACACUGAGGAGCGAAAGCGUGGGGAGCGAACAGGAUUAGAUACCCUGGUAGUCCACGCCGUAAACGAUGGGCACUAGUUGUGGAAACCUUCCACGGUUUCUGCGACGCAGCUAACGCAUUAAGUGCCCCGCCUGGGGAGUACGAUCGCAAGAUUAAAACUCAAAGGAAUUGACGG